UCCUGGUUAGUUCAGUCAGUAGAACAUGAGACUCUUAAUCUCAGGGUCGUGAGUUCAAGUCCCACACUGGGCA
rfam:Ailuropoda melanoleuca scaffold762_26, whole genome shotgun sequence.